rnacentral:rRNA from 1 species
UACGUGGGUAGCGAGCGUUGUUCGGAGUUACUGGGCGUAAAGGGUGUGUAGGCGGUUGUUUAAGUUUGGUGUGAAAUCUCCCGGCUCAACUGGGAGGGUGCGCCGAAUACUGAGUGACUAGAGUGCGGGAGAGGAAAGUGGAAUUCCUGGUGUAGCGGUGAAAUGCGUAGAUAUCAGGAGGAACACCGGUGGUGUAGACGGCUUUCUGGACCGUAACUGACGCUGAGACACGAAAGCGUGGGUAGUAAACAGG